GACGAACGCUGGCGGCGUGCUUAACACAUGCAAGUCGAACGGAAAGGCACUGCUUUUGUGGGGUGCUCGAGUGGCGAACGGGUGAGUAACACGUGAGUAACCUGCCCUUGACUUUGGGAUAACUUCAGGAAACUGGGGCUAAUACCGGAUAGGAGCUCCUGCUGCAUGGUGGGGGUUGGAAAGUUUCGGCGGUAGGGGAUGGACUCGCGGCUUAUCAGCUUGUUGGUGGGGUAGUGGAUUACCAAGGCGUUGACGGGUAGCCGGCCUGAGAGGGUGACCGGCCACAUUGUGACUGAGAUACGGCCCAGACUCCUACGGGAGGCAGCAGUGGGGAAUAUUGCACGAUGGGCGGCAGCCUGAUGCAGCAACGCCGCGUGCGGGAUGACGGCCUUCGGGUUGGAAACCGCUUUCGCCUGGGACGAAGCGUGUGUGACGGUAAUGGGUAAAGAAGCACCGGCUAACUACGUG
rnacentral:rRNA from 1 species